rnacentral:rRNA from 1 species
UGGGGAAUUUUGGACAAUGGGGGAAACCCUGAUCCAGCCAUCCCGCGUGUGUGAUGAAGGCCUUCGGGUUGUAAAGCACUUUUUGCAGGAAAGAAACGUCAUGGGCUAAUACCCCGUGAAACUGACGGUACCUGCAGAAUAAGCACCGGCUAACUACGUGCCAGCAGCCGCGGCAAUACGUAGGGUGCAAGCGUUAAUCGGAAUUACUGGGCGUAAAGCGUGCGCAGGCGGUUCGGAAAGGAAGAUGUGAAAUCCCAGAGCUCAACUGUGGAACUGCAUUUUUAACUGCCGGGCUAGAGUGUGUCAGAGGGAGGUGGAAUUCCGCGUGUAGCAGUGAAAUGCGUAGAUAUGCGGAGGAACACCGAUAGCGAGGGCAGCCUCCUGGGAUAACACUGACGCUCGUGCACGAAAGCGUGGGGAGCAAACAGG